ACUCCUACGGGAGGCAGCAGUGGGGAAUAUUGCACAAUGGGGCGCAAGCCUGAUGCAGCCAUGCCGCGUGUGUGAAGAAGGCCUUCGGGUUGUAAAGCACUUUUCAGUUGUGAGGAAGGUGGUGUCGUUAAUAGCGGCAUCAUUUGACGUUAGCAACAGAAGAAGCACCGGCUAACUCCGUGCCAGCAGCCGCGGUAAUACGGAGGGUGCGAGCGUUAAUCGGAAUUACUGGGCGUAAAGCGCAUGCAGGUGGUUUGUUAAGUCAGAUGUGAAAGCCCGGGGCUCAACCUCGGAAUUGCAUUUGAAACUGGCAGACUAGAGUACUGUAGAGGGGGGUAGAAUUUCAGGUGUAGCGGUGAAAUGCGUAGAGAUCUGAAGGAUACCGGUGGCGAAGGCGGCCCCCUGGACAGAUACUGACACUCAGAUGCGAAAGCUGGGGAGCAAACAGGAUUAGAUACCCUGGUAGCACAGAG
rnacentral:rRNA from 1 species